rnacentral:rRNA from 1 species
AUUGAACGCUGGCGGCAGGCCUAACACAUGCAAGUCUAACGAGUGGCGGACGGGUGAUUAAUGUCUGGGAAACUGCCUGAUGGAGGGGGAUAACUACUGGAAACGGUAGCUAAUACCGCAUACCAUCGGAUGUGCCCAGAUGGGAUUAGCUAGUAGGUGGGGUAAAGGCUCACCUAGGCGACGAUCCUUAACUGGUCUGAGCGGAUGAUCAGUCACACUGGAACUGAGACACGGUCCAGACUCCUACGGGAGGCAGCAGUGGGGAAUAUUGGACAAUGGGCGAAAGCCUGAUCCAGCCAUGCCGCGUGUGUGAAGAAGGUCUUCGGAUUGUAAAGCACUUUAAGUUGGGAGGCGUUACCCGCAGAAGAAGCACCGGCUAACUCCGUGCCAGCAGCCGCGGUAAUAC